CUGAACAUCUCAUCAAUCGCUCCUGAAGAUUUGAAGAAGUACGACUGUGUGUUUCAGAUGUCUGGUGUCAAAGACGACAUCAUCACAACUACUGGACAAAUCAGUGAUCAGGACUAACUGGGUUCCUCCAUCAGGGUUUCCUGCUGGUGCUGUCAUUGGAGUAGUUGUAGGUCUGCUGCUGCUGUUGCUCUGCAUCACUGGACUCUUCAUGUGGAGAAAGAAGACUAACGG